GACGAACGCUGGCGGCGUGCUUAACACAUGCAAGUCGAACGGUAAGGCCCUUCGGGGUACACGAGUGGCGAACGGGUGAGUAACACGUGGGUGAUCUGCCCUGCACUUCGGGAUAAGCCUGGGAAACUGGGUCUAAUACCGGAUAGGACCCUGGGAUGCAUGUCCUGGGGUGGAAAGCUUUUGCGGUGUGGGAUGGGCCGGCGGCCUAUCAGGUUGUUGGGGGGGUGAUGGCCUACCAAGGCGACGACGGGUAGCCGGCCUGAGAGGGUGACCGGCCACACUGGGACUGAGAUACGGCCCAGACUCCUACGGGAGGCAGCAGUGGGGAAUAUUGCACAAUGGGCGCAAGCCUGAUGCAGCGACGCCGCGUGAGGGAUGACGGCCUUCGGGUUGUAAACCUCUUUCAGCACCGACGAAGCGCAAGUGACGGUAGGUGCAGAAGAAGGACCGGCCAACUACGUGCCAGCCGCCGCCGUAA
rnacentral:rRNA from 1 species